rnacentral:rRNA from 2 species
CGGGAAUUCGAUUGAGUUUGAUCCUGGCUCAGGACGAACGCUGGCGGCAUGCCUAAUACAUGCAAGUCGAACGAGCUUCCGUUGAUUGAAGUGCUUGCACUGAUUUCAACACUGAAGCGAGUGGCGAACUGGUGAGUAACACGUGGGUAACUUGCCCAGAAGCAGGGGAUAACACUUGGAAACAGGUGCUAAUACCGUAUAACAACAGAAACCGCAUGGUUUCUGUNUGAAAGAUGGUUUCGGCUAUCACUUCUGGAUGGACCCGCGGCGUAUUAGUUAGUUGGUGAGGUAAAGGCCCACCAAGACAAUGAUACGUAGCCGACCUGAGAGGGUAAUCGGCCACAUUGGGACUGAGACACGGCCCAAACUCCUACGGGAGGCAGCAGUAGGGAAUCUUCCACAAUGGACGAAAGUCUGAUGGAGCAAUGCCGCGUGAGUUAAGAAGGGUUUCGGCUCGUAAAACUCUGUUGUUAAAGAAGAACACUCUUGAGAGUAACUGUUCAGGAGUUGACGGUAUUUAACCAGAAAGCCACGGCUAACUACGUGCCAGCAGCCGCGGUAAUACGUAGGUGGCAAGCGUUGUCCGGAUUUAUUGGGCGUAAAGCGAGCGCAGGCGGUUUUUUAAGUCUGAUGUGAAAGCCUUCGGCUUAACCGGAGAAGUGCAUCGGAAACUGGGAGACUUGAGUGCAGAAGAGGACAGUGGAACUCCAUGUGUAGCGGUGGAAUGCGUAGAUAUAUGGAAGAACACCAGUGGCGAAGGCGGCUGUCUAGUCUGUAACUGACGCUGAGGCUCGAAAGCAUGGGUAGCAAACAGGAUUAGAUACCCUGGUAGUCCAUGCCGUAAACGAUGAGUGCUAGGUGUUGGAGGGUUUCCGCCCUUCAGUGCCGCAGCUAACGCAUUAAGCACUCCGCCUGGGGAGUACGACCGCAAGGUUGAAACUCAAAGGAAUUGACAGGGGCCCGCACAAGCGGUGGAGCAUGUGGUUUAAUUCGAAGCUACGCGAAGAACCUUACCAGGUC